rnacentral:rRNA from 1 species
AUACGAAGGUGGCGAGCGUUGUUCGGAUUUACUGGGCGUAAAGGGCAGGUAGGUGGUCUGUUAAGUCUUCUGUGAAAAUCCGGGGCUCAACCCCGCGAAAUGCAGGUGAAACUGGCAGACUUGAGACCGGUAGAGGCUAGCGGAAUUCCUGGUGUAGCGGUGGAAUGCGUAGAUAUCAGGAAGAACACCUGUGGCGAAGGCGGCUAGCUGGGCCGGUUCUGACACUGAACUGCGAAAGCGUGGGGAGCAAACAGGAUUAGAAACCCCGGUAGUCC